GUGGGGAAUAUUGGACAAUGGGGGGAACCCUGAUCCAGCCAUGCCGCGUGUGUGAAGAAGGCCUUUUGGUUGUAAAGCACUUUAAGCGAGGAGGAGGCUACUCUAGUUAAUACCUAGGGAUAGUGGACGUUACUCGCAGAAUAAGCACCGGCUAACUCUGUGCCAGCAGCCGCGGUAAUACAGAGGGUGCGAGCGUUAAUCGGAUUUACUGGGUGUAAAGCGUGCGUAGGCGGCUUUUUAAGUCGGAUGUGAAAACCCUGAGCUUAACUUAGGAAUUGCAUUCGAUACUGGGAAGCUAGAGUAUGGGAGAGGAUGGUAGAAUUCCAGGUGUAGCGGUGAAAUGCGUAGAGAUCUGGAGGAAUACCGAUGGCGAAGGCAGCCAUCUGGCCUAAUACUGACGCUGAGGUACGAAAGCAUGGGGAGCAAACAGGAUUAGAAACCCGGGUAGUCC
rnacentral:rRNA from 1 species